GACGAACGCUGGCGGCGUGCCUAAUACAUGCAAGUCGAGCGAAGUUUUUCUGGUGCUUGCACUAGAAAAACUUAGCGGCGAACGGGUGAGUAACACGUAAAGAACCUGCCUCAUAGACUGGGACAACUAUUGGAAACGAUAGCUAAUACCGGAUAACAGUAUUUCUCGCAUGAGGUAUAUUUAAAAGUUGGUUAUGCUAACACUAUGAGAUGGCUUUGCGGUGCAUUAGCUAGUUGGUGGGGUAAAGGCCCACCAAGGCGGCGAUGCAUAGCCGACCUGAGAGGGUGAUAGGCCACACUGGGACUGAGACACGGCCCAGACUCCUACGGGAGGCAGCAGUAGGGAAUCUUCCGCAAAGGGCGAAAGCCUGACGGAGCAACGCCGCGUGAGUGAAGAAGGAUUUCGGUUCGUAAAGCUCUGUUGUUAGGGAAGAAUGGAUAUGUAGUAACUAUACAUGUAAGAGACGGUACCUAACCAGAAAGCCACGGCUAACUACGUG
rnacentral:rRNA from 1 species